CCUACGGGUGGCAGCAGUGGGGAAUAUUGCACAAUGGGGGAAACCCUGAUGCAGCGACGCCGCGUGAGUGAAGAAGUAAUUCGUUAUGUAAAGCUCUUUCAGCAGGGAAGAAAAUGACGGUACUUGAGUAAGAAGACACGGCUAACUACGUGCCAGCAGCCGCGGUAAUACGUAGGGGGCAAGCAGUAUCCGGAUUUAAUGGGUGUAAAGGGGGCGUAGACGGCAGUGCAAGUCUGGAGUUAAAGGCGGGGGCUCAACCCCCGGACUGCUCUGGAAACUGUACGGCUUGAGUGCAGGAGAGGUAAAUGGAAUUCCUAGUGUAGCGGUGAAAUGCGUAGAUAUUAGGAGGAACACCAGUGGCGAAGGCGGCUUACUGGACUGUAACUGACGUUGAGGCUCGAGAGCGUGGGGAGCAAACAGGAUUAGAUACCCGUGUAGUC
rnacentral:rRNA from 1 species